CAAAGAACUUAUAGAACUCAUAGAAUUUCCAGGUGUUUGAAUCAACCGUUUGGGGUGAGUAGGAUUAAACACAUACUGUUAGCACAGCGUUCAGAGGCCAGGUAAGAUUCUUAAGGGUCACAGUGAGAAAAGGGAAUUUCCUUUGUAAGAACAUGGGAAACCCAGAGCAACUGAGGCAGUCAGUCAACAUCUGCUGGGAAAUAAAACUUGAAUAUAAAGAAGACAAAGUCCAAACACCAAUUUCAGAGAUCAGAGGUAUUGGUACUUAAAUCUUACAAACAUUAUAAUCAAAAAUGUGCAUUCCCCACUGUUCCUGCUUGUUGUACCCACUGAAGGAGCUGGGUGGACUAUGAAGUCAGUGUCUUUAAGUGAAUGUGUAUAAGCACUGUGAUGGAAAAAAUAAAUAAGAGACCUGAAAGUGCCACCUAAGUCCUAUGCACCAUCUGUAUGCAUAACCAUAUCUCAUCCUGGCGGCCAUUCUUCAGUAACCUGCUCUCCAGACAGUUCUAGGUUUUGACUAUUCCAAAUAUGGUUUCUACAUCAACAAAACUCCUAUUCAACCAAGAAAGAAGCAAAGAAUGACUCGAAAGGAAAAGCAGAUUCAUAUUAUAAAAAGCCUUGAAAGCAGUUUCAUUGAGACUGAAAUUUACAUGGGAGACAGCGGCCACUACUGAGUUUGUGCAGAAGAAGUGACACUCAAAAUGUUUUUAAAGAAAGGUACUCCAAUCCUUCUGCUAUCACUAGACAGGACCAUAUGAAAACGAUGGCAGUGUCUUCACUCCAGGAAGUCUUUCAGAGGAGCGACGCUGGCGCAAUGAAUGAUGAGGCCAUUGUUCCUGGGGAACACAGAUGACACCAGCAACAAAAUUAUUGUUUACCAUGUGCAAGCCCUGGUAUCUGAGAGCCUACUGAAUAGAGUUGAUCAUAGGUUGUUUUCCCACUCCUUUUUCUAAAUUAAAGAAAGCAUCUCAACUAAGGCAAUAUGAUAAUUAACUUGACUUCUAUUUGUUCCCUUAUUUCAAAGUAAUUGAAUCCAAACACUAUCCAUCCAAAUCACUGGCCUAAGUCAAUGGUUGCUAAAUGAGGUGCUAAGGCUCUGUUGGGUAUUUUAAAUGUUCCUAAGGGAUGCUGUAGAUUUUACUAUACCAGAAUUAAGAAAGCACAAUGUUUAUUUAAUUAAGGCUUUAUGAGCUGACUGUGUGACUUGCCCACAUCAGCAACUUAGCCUCAAUCUUUUCAAAUCCAAAGUGCACAUAUGCUCUUUAACUGGUGAAUGCAGAAUUCAGCUGCUUCAGGGAAUGGGUACCAAGACCUGUUUCACAAAACUGGCUUGUUCAUAAGGUUAAUAUAAGCAUGUCUACGUCUGAAAGAAGGAUAUGUGAAUCAAAUUGUAAGGGACAAGAACAAACGAUGGAUAAUGAUGACGGAAUUUUAUUAUUGGGAAGUUUAGGUAAUUUAAAAUAAUUAGCAAGACUAAAUGAACUUGAUAUUCUAGGACAGUUGCCUAGCUGUGGGGUUUCUUUAGGAUCUGAACAUACUUCAUCCUUUCCUUGAACACAUUAUUGGGUGAAGAGAACGUAGCAGACGUUUUGAUCUCCAAUAGAUAGGUAAGAAAACUACCAAAUAUAGGUACUUUCUAGACCAAUUUUGCAGAUUGAGUUGUGAGUUCUGAUUUGGUUAAAAGUGUGUAUCUGUUGUUGGUGGAAUAUAAAGACCGUCCUGGGUCAAGAUCACUGCCAAGGCAAUUGGUAAGUAGGAGGAGGCCAAAGAGUAAAAUCCUAUACCAUGCAGAUGUUGGGUGGUUUAGAGAGCAUGUGUGAGAAGAGGGCUGGUCUGAAAGGAUAUGUCCCUUGGGGCCUAAUUGUAGGUUAUGGGCAGAUGCAGCCUUUGAGUUUGGAUAUGGAUUAUUCCCCCAAAGACUUGAGACUAGUAUACACAUGAAAUGGGAAAAUCAAAAACAAAAACACACAAUG